rnacentral:tRNA from 1 species
GCUUAGAUAGCUCAAUUGGUAGAGCUUAGGUUUGAAGGUCCUACGGUUGAUGGUUCAAGUCCGUCUCUAAGCA